rnacentral:rRNA from 1 species
UGGGGAAUUUUGGACAAUGGGCGAAAGCCUGAUCCAGCAAUGCCGCGUGUGUGAAGAAGGCCUUCGGGUUGUAAAGCACUUUUGUCCGGAAAGAAAUCCUUGGCUCUAAUACAGUCGGGGGAUGACGGUACCGGAAGAAUAAGCACCGGCUAACUACGUGCCAGCAGCCGCGGUAAUACGUAGGGUGCAAGCGUUAAUCGGAAUUACUGGGCGUAAAGCGUGCGCAGGCGGUUUGCUAAGACCGAUGUGAAAUCCCCGGGCUCAACCUGGGAACUGCAUUGGUGACUGGCAGGCUAGAGUAUGGCAGAGGGGGGUAGAAUUCCACGUGUAGCAGUGAAAUGCGUAGAGAUGUGGAGGAAUACCGAUGGCGAAGGCAGCCCCCUGGGCCGAUACUGACGCUCAUGCACGAAAGCGUGGGGAGCAAACAGGAUUAGAUACCCUGGUAGUCCACGCCCUAAAACGAUGUCAACUAGUUGUUGGGGAUUCAUUUCCUUAGUAACGUAGCUAACGCGUGAAGUUGACCGUCUGGGGAGUACGGUCGCAAGAUUAAAACUCAAA